rnacentral:rRNA from 1 species
AUGGCUAGUAGGGGAUGCUAUACGUUGCCAGUAACCAUAGGUAGACAUGUUUUCCCCACCGACCUAAUUAUCCUGGAGUCACAAGGAUUGGAUGUGAUACUAGGCAUGGAUUUGCUAUCCAAGUAUGAGGGAAACAUCAAUUGCGCUAGUAAAUCAAUUCUUCUCACCACCACAGAAGGAAAGAGGAUCAAGUAUUUGUCUAGGCAUGCGCCGAGGAGGACUCGGGUGAAUUCCUUAUCAGGAGUUGUUCAGGAGGAAGCACCAGUGGUGAAGGAUUAUCCCGAUGUAUUUCUGGAGGAGUUACCAGGCAUGCCACCAGAUCGAGAUAUUGAGUUUUUGAUUGAGUUAUUGCCAGGCACCGGACCAAUAUCAAAGAGACCGUAUCAGAUGCCCGCAAAUGAUCUGGAAGAAAUUAAGAAGCGGAUUAAGGAGUUACUGGAGAAAGGUUAUAUUCGACCAAGUUCAUCACCUUGA